UACGUAGGGCGCAAGCGUUGUCCGGAAUUAUUGGGCGUAAAGAGCUCGUAGGUGGUUUGUCGCGUCUGCCGUGAAAACCCGAGGCUUAACCUCGGGCUGGCGGUGGAUACGGGCAGACUAGAGGUAGGUAGGGGAGAACGGAAUUCCCGGUGUAGCGGUGAAAUGCGCAGAUAUCGGGAGGAACACCGGUGGCGAAGGCGGUUCUCUGGGCCUUACCUGACGCUGAGGAGCGAAAGCGUGGGGAGCGAACAGG
rnacentral:rRNA from 1 species